AGUGAGCUGUCCUGGAGAUCAGACGAGGAGAUAUGAGGAGCCAGAAGGCGUUCCUGAGCGCGCAAGUGUUGUAAUCACAUUACUGCUCCCUGAGCUCAGCUGACACAGGAGACCGGACUGUGGAGCGUGACUGUGCAGCACCGGAACCAGAAAACCCACGAUGAGGCCAAGCAUUGCGAUACGGCCCCCCGCUCAUCCCCCUGCUUAUCACGCGCGCGCCGCGGUGGCCGGGACCUUUUCAGGUGCUGUCAAUAUUUAUCAGAAGCAACUUCUUAGAAGGAGCGAUGUGAGAGUAAGUGCGUUACUGUGUGAGCUGUCACCAGAUGUGCCAAGGGCUGGGUAUUGAAAAGGCAGGGGAAAAAAAAAAAAGCAUUAAAAAUACCAUUGCCAUGUUGCCCUCUGGGCUUACACAAAUGUGACAUGGAGAAGAAUUAGACUUUUGCAGUUUCAUGUUUCCUUGACCUUUUGAGAGAGGAAGAAAAAAACAGAUCCAACUUUUGCUCCUAGUUAUAAUGCUGAAAGUCCAGAGCAAAUAUAACACACUGGCUCCUGAGGCGUGAGAGCAGAGUUUCAUGUUGUCUAUUGAAAUAUCAGAGAGAGCAGGAUAGCUGAGGUGUAAAGAUAUUUGAACAAAAGCUGGAUGAGUUGAAAGCUAAAUGUGUGUCCCACAUGCAUGUAAUUAUUGGUGUUUAAGAAGAUUUGUUCACCCUGCUCUGGUGGGAUUUCUGACUUGGCAUCAGUGCAAGGUAAAGCAGAAAACGUGUGGCUCCUACAGCACAAUGUCCUUUUGCUGUAUGAGUGAGGGAUGUGCCACGAGGGAAGGUUCCCAGAGAGCGGCACCUCAGCCGACAGACCCUGGCAGGGGCAGCUAUGGCUAGCACAGGUGGUGGAGAUGCUGUGACAGUACCCGCAUCGCGCUCGCUUCACACUUGGGAAAGCCUUGGACCAUUAGUGUUCAGCUCACACGUGCUAUUUGAUAUGAAAAAAAUUCCAGUUAAAAAUAAUUCCAGAAUAUUGUUAUAUUGGCUCAUGCAACUGUUGACAAACUAAAUCUGCUUGGAUUGCACUUUAAUGACAAACUCUGUGUGCUUCAGCAGGUUUUCUUUGUUUUGGCUUGGUUUUCUGAUUUUAUUCCCCGCCUUCUACUGAGAGAUAUUUUAGCUCAGAGAGGACAAAUACAGAGGGUAGGCUGCUUCCUACCUGAAAUAGUGCCUGAGAGAAGCUGAUCGAUGUGGAUCAUUGCAAUGAAACGUGGUACUUGACACAAGUAGCUUUUUUCCCCUUUUGUAUACAAGCACAAAGCUAUUAAGCAAAGGACGAGAAACGCGUGGAGUACAGUGCGGUUUGCUAACGUGUGGCUGGGUUCCCAGGUCCAUUUGCAUUCUUGCAGACAGGCUGCAGUUGUCAUGAUGCUAUUGCCAGGAAAGAUGUAAACAAAAGGAAACCUCUCGUUGUCAGUUGAAGCGUUAGGUUAGUAAUACAAAAGGGUACUUUACAGAGUCUUUCAGAUUGAUACACACUAUCUAUUUAUCAAAGAUGUUAUUUGUUAUAUGUAGUCAUACAGAUGCAUUGAUGUAAGUCACCGUUUUUUACAUUUUUUUUAAAUCACAGCAGUAUUUACUAUGUGUGAGUCAGGGCAGUGAGCAAGGUCAUAGGAUCCUGUCACAUAGGAUCAUGACUUAAAAUUCAGCUGUUUUAGGCACAGCUCUUCUGGGUUCACUCAGAGAUUGACAAAUGGACGUGUUUCCAUUGAAGCUGCGAAAGGUUCAUCAUUAUGCCUCGUCUAAAUUUCAUAGCUGGUAAUCUGCCUGGAUGAAGUCUCCUUUCUCUCCCAACACUGCAAACACCACUGUGUAACUUCACUAAAAAUCAAACACUGGUGUUUAUGCUGGAUUAAAACAGUUGCUAGCGAGAUGA